rnacentral:rRNA from 1 species
UUGUAGAGGAUGUUUCUGGCGACGCGCCUUCCGAGUUCCCUGGAACGGGACGCCAUAGAGGGUGAGAGCCCCGUACGGUUGGAUGCCUAGCCUCUGUGAAACUCCUUCGACGAGUCGAGUAGUUUGGGAAUGCUGCUCUAAAUGGGAGGUAUACGUCUUCUAAAGCUAAAUACCGGCCAGAGACCGAUAGCGCACAAGUAGAGUGAUCGAAAGAUGAAAAGCACUUUGAAAAGAGGGUUAAAAAGUACGUGAAAUUGUUGAAAGGGAAGCGUUCAUGACCAGACUUGGGCAGGUUGAUCAUCCGUGGUUCUCCGCGGUGCACUCUGCCUGCCCAGGCCAGCAUCAGUUCGCCCCGGGGGAUAAAGGCUUUGGGAAUGUGGCUCCCUCGGGAGUGUUAUAGCCCACUGCGUAAUACCCUGGGGUGGACUGAGGNUCGCGCUCUGCAAGGAUGCUGGCGUAAUGG